UGGGGAACAUUGGACAAUGGGCGCAAGCCUGAUCCAGCCAUGCCGCGUGAGUGAUGAAGGCCUUAGGGUGUAAAGCUCUUUCGCCGACGAAGAUAAUGACGGUAGUCGGAGAAGAAGCCCCGGCUAACUUCGUGCCAGCAGCCGCGGUAAUACGAAGGGGGCUAGCGUUGUUCGGAAUCACUGGGCGUAAAGCGCACGUAGGCGGAUUGUUAAGUCAGGGGUGAAAGCCUGGAGCUCAACUCCAGAACUGCCCUUGAUACUGGCAAUCUCGAGUCCCGGAAGAGGGUAAGUGGAACUGCGAGUGUAGAGGUGAAAUUCGUAGAUAUUCGCAAGGAACACCAGUGGCGAAGGCGGCUUACUGGUCCGGUACUGACGCUGAGGUGCGAAAAGCGUGGGGGAGCAAACAGGAUUAGAUACCCUGGUAGUCCACGCCGUAAACGAUGGAGGCUAGCCGUUGGCGAGCAUGCUCGUCAGUGGCGCAGCUAACGCAUUAAGCUCCCGCCUGGGGAGUACGGUCGCAAG
rnacentral:rRNA from 1 species